AAUGGUAUAGCCUAGUGGUCAGGGUGCAAGACUGCAACUCAAACGACCAGGGUUCGAGAUCCUGGGUAGGUG